AGGCGCGGCGCGGCGCCCGACGACUCCUCCUUCCCCACCCCCGCCCCCGGGACCCCUGGAGGGUUGGGCUUGCGAGUGGCGGGAAAGAGCCAGGAAGUUCCCGGGCGCGUUCGUGCCACCACCCACACCCACUCCCGAGGUUGGGGAAAUUCAAAUGGAAAACAUGGAAACGCCUCCUGCGAGGAAACCGAGCUGUGAGUGUCUUGAAACUGACAUGUCAACCGGAAAACUGCAACGUUGAUUUUAAAUCAUUUACCGCCAGCGCUGAUGGGCGUUCCCUGAUCCGUUUGUUUUGGGGACUGAAUCUCAGCCCUGGUUGUCCUCCAUGUCCCUAGGCCGCUGUGAAUGACCUUGAACUUCAAAUCCUCCUGCCUCCGGCUCCUAAAUGCUGGGAUUAAGGGCCUUCUUAACAACCAGUUUCCUUUGUUCAACAACGUAAGAGUUUGUAAAAUCAAAAACAACUUACAAAUGAUCUGAAUAACCUGACGAGUAAUGAAACAAUAUUGUCCUGAUUCAUUUAAAUGAGAUAAAUAAAAAAACCUGAGCUUGUAAAAGUCA